CCACAGGCCACAGUCCUGUGGGCCACAAUGACCCUAUCCCCAGCACUGGAAAUAAGAACACUUCUUAACUAACCUGUUUGAUUUGUAAAGAAAGGGUGUGCCAACCAAGAAUGCAGGUUUCCUUUUCUUUAGAAGCCUACUGAAUGUUGUGAUUGUCAGGAGCAGAACUUGGGGAGGGAGAAAGGAAUAAGGAAAGAGGAAUCAAGGCUUGGAUAAUGAAUGGGCAUAAGGUAGCAAGACAGGUUAUUCCUAUCUCGGGAAUCUCACUGAGGAGGAAGGGGAGAAUAGGAUUGAAGCUUUCCUGAGGUGUCUCCAAUGGUAUAAUGCUUGUCUCUC
rnacentral:lncRNA from 1 species